rnacentral:lncRNA from 11 species
AUUGUGGAUUAUCUGCCUUGAUAUUCUGUGUUAUAUGGCUGUGUGGGAGAGCCCUACAGCUCCUGGGAUUCCAGAGCAUUGAGCCAUGGCAGUUUAAAGUGGUGUCACACUGCAUUAAUUCUGCAAUGCGGAUGUACCAAAGAGUACCCCCACUUAAACUUAACAGAAGCAAGAUAAUAACCAGGAGCAGUUUCCACUACAAGUCCACACCAAGAAAGAUUUCUCUGAACAAAGAACCCAAAUCAGAAGGUCACUUCCUUGAAGGGACACUAAGACAGCUCUCUUUCUGCAAGUAUCAGUAGUCCAGAUGGAGGAGAAGGACUCUAAUCUCA